rnacentral:misc_RNA from 1 species
CAUAAUUAUCUAGUAAUUUCAAAAUUUUUUCACAUAUAUAAUUCAAAUUGAUUUGCUUUUCCUAAAAUACCGUGUUAUACUAAUGUAAGAUUAUUUUUGUGGGUGAAAGAUACGAUUGUGAACAACUUUCCAUCUCGUGCCGUUAAGCAAGAAUAGUAAAUAAUUAGUGUGCAUAACACACGAGGAGGAACAUGAACAUGGAACAAGGUACAGUAAAAUGGUUUAACGCAGAAAAAGGAUUUGGUUUUAUCGAACGCGAAAACGGUGACGAUGUAUUCGUACAUUUCAGCGCUAUCCAAGGCGACGGAUUCAAAUCUUUAGACGAAGGUCAAGCAGUAACUUUCGACGUUGAAGAAGGCCAACGCGGACCUCAAGCAGCUAACGUUCAAAAAGCGUAAUUCUAUUUUUUGAAUAAGAAAAAGCAAAUCAUUUCGGUGAUUUGCUUUUUU